rnacentral:tRNA from 1 species
GCCUGGGUGGCUCAGUCGGUUAAGCGUCUGACUUUGACUCAGGUCAUGAUCUCACGGUUUGUGAGUUCGAGCCCCGCGUCAGGCU